GGGCCUUUAUGCUAAUUGGAUAAACUCAGGGCCUUCUAAGCCCUCAUUCUUGGUUCGAAUCCAAGGAGGCCUA
rnacentral:tRNA from 1 species